ACCUGGCUGGCUCAGUCUGAAGAGCAUGUGAUUCGUGAUCUCAGAGUUGUGAGUUCAAGCUCCACGUUGGGUG
rnacentral:tRNA from 1 species